rnacentral:tRNA from 1 species
ACCGCGGUAGCUCAGCUGUAGAGCAUCUGCCCGGUAUGCGGAGGGUGGCCUGUUCGACUCCGGCUCGCGGCG